UAAGGUAGCGAAAUUCCUUGUCGGGUAAGUUCCGACCUGCACGAAUGGCGUAACGACUUCCCCACUGUCUCAACAAGAGGCCCAGCGAAAUUGGAGUGCGCGUGAAGAUACGCGCUACCCGCGGAAGGACGAAAAGACCCCGUGAACCUUUACUGUAACUUGGCAUUGGGUUUCGAUUAACGAUGCGUAGGAUAGGUGGGAGAUUUUGAUCCGUGCGUUCUGGCGUACGGGGAGUCAUCCUUGAAAUACCACCCUUGGCCGUUUAGAUGUCUAACCUGCGUCGGAUAGCCCGGCGGGGGACAGUGUCUGGUGGGUAGUUUGACUGGGGCGGUCUCCUCCCAAAGAGUAACGGAGGAGCACGAAGGUUGGCUAAUCAUGGUCGGAAAUCAUGAGGUUAGUGUAAUGGCACAAGCCAGCUUGACUGCGAGACGUACAUGUCGAGCAGGUACGAAAGUAGGUCAUAGUGAUCCGGUGGUUCUGAAUGGAAGGGCCAUCGCUCAACGGAUAAAAGGUACUCCGGGGAUAACAGGCUUAUCUCCCCCAAGAGUUCACAUCGACGGGGAGGUUUG
rnacentral:rRNA from 1 species